UUCGCGUCUGUCCCGCCCCCUGCGUGCGUCCUUUACGUAACCACGCCCCCGAAGCUCUCUGGCCCGCCUAGGCAAAACCACGAUGGGGUCAGCGCAGAGCCUCGCCCCGUUCCCGUAGUAACGGUCUCCGGAACGGAAAUGGCCACCUAGAGAUUUGUCGGACAGUGCCGGGUCUGGGCCGCUAGUUCCCAACUCAUAAGGCAUUGCAGCCCGAUAGACCCGAUGUUUCAUGGAACAAUCAUAGAAGAGCUAACCAAUCACAGAGAAUGGAGUCACUAUAAUGAAAAUAUAAUAGAAGAUCAAAAAGAUUUUGUUUUUGUGAAGUUCAGUGGCCUUCAUUUAAAAUCUAUGGAAAAUCUUCAAUCUUGUAUCUCUCUUAGAGUAUGCAUCUUCUCAAACAAUUUUAUUACAGAUAUUCGUCCACUUCAGAGUUGCAUGAAAUUAAUCAAACUUGAUCUCCAUGGAAAUCAGAUAAAGAGUCUACCAGGUACCAAAUUUUGGAGUGGAUUGAAGAAUCUAAAACUUCUCUAUCUACAUGACAAUGGGUUUGCAAAGUUAAAGAACGUAUGUAUGUUAUCUGCCUGUCCGAGCCUCAUUGCCCUCACUAUGUUUGAUUGUCCAGUAAGCCUUAAAAAAGGAUAUAGACAUGUUCUUGUCAACAGUAUAUGGACUCUCAAAGCAUUGGAUCAUCAUGUGAUUUCUGAUGAAGAAAUAAUUCAAAACUGGCAUCUUCCUGAAAGAUUCAAGACAUGUAACCACCGACUUCUCUUUAAUUUCUGCUCUGCUUUGAAAAAGGGAUCAACCUAUGAAGAUGAAAUUGAUAAUAUCAAACACAUUAUUUCAAAAGUUAAUGAAAUUCUGGCUCAUAACUCACCAGUUUUGAUUAUUCAAAGAUGGACACGUGGUUUCUUAGUUAGGAAAAAAGUGAGCCACUUGUUCUUGUAUAAAAAACGUGAAAAAUCUAUUAGUGAAUGUGAAAAAAGAUGGAUUUACAAGCACAAAGGAUUUGAUGAUAAACUCUUUAAGGAACUCUUUUUUCAGCCUGGAACUAAUAUAGCAGAAAAGUUUGCACGCUGGAAAUAUAGUAUAUAUUCUCCUGUUGAUUUAAAAUAUUCUACUGAACAGAGAAAACAUGUCUCUUCUAUUUUAUAUGAAUUAAAAACAAGAAAACCAAGAUAUCUCAUUCAAAAAGACAGAUGGGGGUGCAUCCUUUCCACAGACAUGUCAGUCAUCAAUUUUCCCAGAGUUGGAGUGUAUCUGCAUGGUGUGAUCCUUGGUCACGUUCAUGGUCAGAUGAGAGACAAACUAGUCAAUCAGGCAGCCCCAAAACAAGCUGGAACAUUCCAAACAAAUUCUACUCUGUUCCUUCCAACGAAAGUAAGAGAACUGACAGUGGGUUGA
rnacentral:lncRNA from 1 species